ensembl:processed_transcript Gm20717 predicted gene 20717
GUGCCAAGUCAGAGCCCACACAGGGUCAGCCACUGAGCACUUUGCAGUGGAGGAUGGUGAAUGUCAGGGAGAGCUUUUUCUGUUGGACUCACACUGGCACUGAGCUGGGACCGACCAGUUCUGCUGUGGACACUGAGCACAGGCACUGACAACCUGGAGCCAUCAGAGUUCUUUCCUCUGAGCAUUUACCCAAGUCUAACAGAGGCCUGCAGGAGGCAUUCACAAGGUCUUAAUGAAGCAGGCGCUUCAGAUGGGGCUUCAUGACUCUAAAGGCACAGGUGUCCCUGCUCUGCAUGACAGAUGCCAUCCCAGGAAAGGCUGCCUGUGCUACUGCCUUGUGAGGGGGCCAUCUGAAGCAUGACCUCACCCUGUCCUUACACAACCUCAGCACUACAGAUGAGUGCACCAUGCGGAUGGAGAAAUACUUGGAUACGUGAGCAACAGCCAACCAAGCCCCUCAUCUCAAAGCUUUGUUGGGAAGUGAUCAUCAUCCUCUUGGGGAGUCACAGCUGCCUGAUCAGUCACCCUUGAACACAGGUAA